GAUGAACGCUGGCGGCGUGCCUAAUACAUGCAAGUCGAGCGAAAAGAUAAGGAGGUGGCCUCUUGGACGGAAGCGGCGGACGGGAGAGUAACAAGUGGGUAACCAAUCUAUAAGACGGGGAGAACUUCGGGAAACAGGCGCUAAUACCGGAUAACAUUCGGAACCGCAGGGGUCUAGAGUGAACGGUGGUUUUGCUAUCACCUAUAGAUGGACCCGCGCCGGAUGAGCUGGCUGGUAAGGUAACGGCUUACCAAGGCGACGAAUCGUAGCCGACCUGAGAGAGUGGUCGGCCGCCCGGGAGCUGGGACGCGGUCCCGGGGCCUACGGGAGGCAGCAGUAGGGAAUCGUCCGCAGUGGGCGGAAGCCUGGCGGAGCAGCGCCACGUGAGUUAUGAAGGGGUUCGGCUCGUAAUACUCUGUUAUUAGUUAAGAACAAAUGUCUAAGUAGCUGUGCACGACUUGACGGUACCUAAACAGAAAGCCCCGGCUAACUACGUG
rnacentral:rRNA from 1 species